rnacentral:lncRNA from 1 species
GAUCACUUAACACUUCCUUGUGUUUGGUCAAAAUAACUGCUUUAAAGGGAAUAAGGGGGUUGUUUAUAGAUCCCAGGGAUAUGGAAUCCUGGGCUACAUCAAUCGAGUAUAACUGCUCCCUUUUCUGAGAGUCCAUGAUGUAGAGUCACACCAGUCCUGUAGUUAGGUAAGCACACAGGGUAAUAAUGAUGUAGGGACAAAGGAGGUAAGGCGCUAAGGUAGCUGGAAACAGUUUUAUUUGGCUACAGCCAGUCUCAGAGGGCACUGCUUUUGCUGUAAUGAAUCCAUCAAUCCCCUGAACCCCGAGUUCAGGUGGUUUCAGAAUUUUAUUCCCAUCAUGUAAGGGGAGGGGCUCAGAAGUUCACAUUGUAAUACCGGGACCCCCAAAGAACUCUCAGACCACACAGUCU